GAUGAACGCUGGCGGCGUGCCUAAUACAUGCAAGUCGAGCGAACAGACGAGGAGCUUGCUCCUUUGACGUUAGCGGCGGACGGGUGAGUAACACGUAGGUAACCUACCUAUAAGACUGGGAUAACUUCGGGAAACCGGAGCUAAUGCCGGAUAAUAUAUCGAACCGCAUGGUUCGAUAGUGAAAGAUGGCUUUGCUAUCACUUAUAGAUGGAUCUGCGCCGUAUUAGCUAGUUGGUAAGGUAACGGCUUACCAAGGCAACGAUACGUAGCCGACCUGAGAGGGUGAUCGGCCACACUGGAACUGAGACACGGUCCAGACUCCUACGGGAGGCAGCAGUAGGGAAUCUUCCGCAAUGGGCGAAAGCCUGACGGAGCAACGCCGCGUGAGUGAUGAAGGUCUUCGGAUCGUAAAACUCUGUUAUUAGGGAAGAACAAACGUGUAAGUAACUGUGCACGUCUUGACGGUACCUAAUCAGAAAGCCACGGCUAACUACGUG
rnacentral:rRNA from 1 species